GUGUUACUGAUCUAAAUAGCUACUUUUUCAUAUUGCAACAUUGUUAUAGUUUUUGCUAUAACUUUUGGUUACAUGUACUCUUACCAUAGCUCUCUAUCGCUUCUAUAUAAGAUACUGAUUUUUAGAUCCAGUUUUAAAUGACAGAGAGCAGCCACUGGUUGCUCACUGUUUAGGCAACAUGCCCCUACUACACGGGGGAUACCUGGCACAGGUAGGAGCACGAGGGAGUAUUUAACCUGUGCCAGGUCCCCAAUUAUUGAAGUAGUGACUGGGCAGCAAUAGAUGGAUGUCAGGAACACUGCUUACGUCCACAGGAUGGAGUUGAAAAAAUAAAAUUUAUUAGAAAUAUAAAAACACUAGUACAAAAUAAAAUGACUGUAUAAAAACAGUAAUUCAGGUAAGUCCUUAAUCCUCCUGGACGUGCGAGACGCGUUUCGCCGGUGGGCUUUGUCAGUGUUCUUGACAUCCAUCUAUAGGGUCUUGUGUCCCCUUAUUGGCACAUACAUCAUUAUACUCAGAGACAGGUUUAUAGGCUCUGAACCAGGGGAGCAGUUCUGUGUAUUCCACCACUUAAAUUACAACCCACUUAUAUACUACACCAUAUUUGUUUCUUUAUUUUUAAAGGAACAGCACGAUUUCACAAACUGUAGGUUUCGUGUUACCCCUAAAAACAUGCCUGCCUAAGUGAUCUGAGCCUGUCCUGCUGAGGCUCAGCACCUUGUGAGUGGGUCCAUAUACUUAUAUUACUACUCCACUGUUAUUUAACUUAUCACACGAUUGUAUUCUCUAUCUCAUCCCCAUAGGUUAUGACAAAUAAAUCCAAGAGAGGGGAGAGGUGAGUCAUUUACUUGUAACUCUUGAGCGCUCCACCUAUCGACUGGUGUCGGUUCCCCACCACACAGUAUAUCACUACAUUUUCAUAUUCUCGUGUUAACCUGUGAGAGGAUUAUACAUUGGUGGUAGCAGCAUAUAUAAUUUUUUCCACCCUUUUAAGCACCUGAAUACACAAUAUUACUUUACAUUACCACUAGUUUUACAUUUUUGUUUAGGCAACAUGCCCCUACUAACGGCAGCUGGUAGGGAGCUGGUAGCGCUGCCGGCUUCCUCUUUGCUUUUUUUUUUCUUGGCGCAUGUGCAGUGCGGUUUUUGUUCUAAUGGACGAAAACUAAUUCUUUUUUUAAUGAAUUUCGUUCGAAAACUAAUGGUUUGCGGAUGAAAUUCGGGAUUGACAAAUUCAAUUUUUAUGUAGUAGGAAAUCUUUCGUACGAAAUGAAAAUUUCACUGGUGUACAUGUCUAAUAUAAUAUAUAUGUACAAUAGCGAUAGCAUCUAUUGGUGAAUGUAUACGCCUUGUUUAAUUUUUGAUACCCUAUAUGUAAAUGGUUUGUCGUUAAUAUAUUUUAUGUCCUAUUUAUGAGAAUAUAUUUCUAUUUACACAUAAUAAAGAUCAUACUGAAAUAAAUAAAACUACAAGAAGGAUUUAAAAAAAAAAAAAAUAAAGUCUGAGCCAGUGUGCCUUUUAGUGAGUGUUUCUGUCAGUGAGUGACUUUCAAAUCAGUGAGAUUGUGUUUGUUAUUAAGAGUGUGUGUGAAUCUGGCAUGAAUCUGGCAUGAUCAAAAAAUUUGGUUCGGUUCGGAAAUUCGGGU
rnacentral:lncRNA from 1 species